rnacentral:rRNA from 1 species
UACGGGGGGGGCAAGCGUUGUUCGGAAUUACUGGGCGUAAAGGGCUCGUAGGCGGCCAACUAAGUCCGACGUGAAAUCCCCAGGCUUAACCUGGGAACUGCGUCGGAUACUGGAUGGCUUGAAUUCGGGAGAGGGAUGCAGAAUUCCAGGUGUAGCGGUGAAAUGCGCAGAUAUCAGGAGGAACACCGGUGGCGAAGGCGGGUCUCUGGGCCGUAACUGACGCUGAGGAGCGAAAGCGUGGGGAGCGAACAGG